UACAGAGGGUGCGAGCGUUAAUCGGAAUUACUGGGCGUAAAGCGUGCGUAGACGGUAGCGUAAGUCAGAUGUGAAAGCCCCGGGCUCAACCUGGGAACUGCAUUUGAGACUGCUCUGCUCGGGUGCGGAAGAGGGAAGCGGAAUUUCCGGUGUAGCGGUGAAAUGCGUAGAUAUUUGGAGGAACACCAGUGGCGAAGGCGACUUUCUGGUCUGUAACUGACACUGAGGCGCGAAAGCGUGGGGAGCAAACAGG
rnacentral:rRNA from 1 species